rnacentral:rRNA from 1 species
UACGUAGGGUGCAAGCGUUGUCCGGAAUUAUUGGGCGUAAAGAGCUCGUAGGCGGUCUGUCGCGUCGGAUGUGAAAACCCAGGGCUCAACCCUGGGCCUGCAUUCGAUACGGGCAGACUAGAGUACGGCAGGGGAGACUGGAAUUCCUGGUGUAGCGGUGAAAUGCGCAGAUAUCAGGAGGAACACCGGUGGCGAAGGCGGGUCUCUGGGCCGUAACUGACGCUGAGGAGCGAAAGCGUGGGGAGCGAACAGG